rnacentral:rRNA from 1 species
GAUGAACGCUGGCGGCGUGCCUAAUACAUGCAAGUCGAGCGAACAGACGAGGACCUUGCUCCUCUGACGUUAGCGGCGGACGGGAGAGUAACACGUGGAUAACCUACCUAUAAGACUGGGAUAACUUCGGGAAACCGGAGCUAAUACCGGAUAAUAUAUUGAACCGCAUGGUUCACUAGUGAAAGACGGUUUUGCUGUCACUUAUAGAUGGAUCAGCGCCGCAUUAGCUAGUUGGUAAGGUAACGGCUUACCAAGGCAACGAUGCGUAGCCGACCUGAGAGGGUGAUCGGCCACACUGGAACUGAGACACGGUCCAGACUCCUACGGGAGGCAGCAGUAGGGAAUCUUCCGCAAUGGGCGAAAGCCUGACGGAGCAACGCCGCGUGAGUGAUGAAGGUCUUCGGAUCGUAAAACUCUGUUAUUAGGGAAGAACAAAUGUGUAAGUAACUAUGCACGUCUUGACGGUACCUGAACAGAAAGCCCCGGCUAACUACGUG